UACAGAGGUCUCAAGCGUUGUUCGGAUUCACUGGGCGUAAAGGGCGCGUAGGCGGCCUUGCAAGUCGGUUGGUGAAAGCCCGGGGCUCAACCCCGGAGGUGCGGCCGAGACUGCAGGGCUGGAGGCCGGAAGAGGAGGGUGGAAUACCCAGUGUAGAGGUGAAAUUCGUAGAUAUUGGGUGGAACACCGGUGGCGAAAGCGGCUCUCUGGUCCGGACCUGACGCUGAGGCGCGAAAGCGUGGGGAGCAAACAGG
rnacentral:rRNA from 1 species